rnacentral:rRNA from 1 species
CUAUCCGUCGCGGGCGUAGGAAAUUUGAGAGGAUCUGCUCCUAGUACGAGAGGACCAGAGUGGACUUACCGCUGGUGUACCAGUUGUCUUGCCAAAGGCAUCGCUGGGUAGCUAUGUAGGGAAGGGAUAAGCGCUGAAAGCAUCUAAGUGCGAAGCCCACCUCAAGAUGAGAUUUCCCAUGAUUUUAUAUCAGUAAGAGCCCUGAGAGAUGAUCAGGUAGAUAGGUUAGGAGUGUAAUUGUGGUGACACAUUUAGCGGACUAAUACUAAUAGCUCGAGGACUUAUCCAAAA